rnacentral:rRNA from 1 species
CAGUCGCCACGGUAAUACAGAGGGUGCAAGCGUUAAUCGGAAUUACUGGGCGUAAAGCGCGCGUAGGUGGUUUGUUAAGUUGGAUGUGAAAGCCCCGGGCUCAACCUGGGAACUGCAUCCAAAACUGGCAAGCUAGAGUACGGUAGAGGGUGGUGGAAUUUCCUGUGUAGCGGUGAAAUGCGUAGAUAUAGGAAGGAACACCAGUGGCGAAGGCGACCACCUGGACUGAUACUGACACUGAGGUGCGAAAGCGUGGGGAGCAAACAGGAUUAGAUACCCCAGUAGUCCCUGUCUCUUAUAA